rnacentral:rRNA from 1 species
CUACAGGCUUAACACAUGCGAGUCGAGGGGCAGCAUGGUCUUAGCUUGCUAAGGCCGAUGGCGACCGGCGCACGGGUGAGUAACACGUAUCCAACCUGCCGUCUACUCUUGGACAGCCUUCUGAAAGGAAGAUUAAUACAAGAUGGCAUCAUGAGUCCGCAUGUUCACAUGAUUAAAGGUAUUCCGGUAGACGAUGGGGAUGCGUUCCAUUAGAUAGUAGGCGGGGUAACGGCCCACCUAGUCUUCGAUGGAUAGGGGUUCUGAGAGGAAGGUCCCCCACAUUGGAACUGAGACACGGUCCAAACUCCUACGGGAGGCAGCAGUGAGGAAUAUUGGUCAAUGGGCGAGAGCCUGAACCAGCCAAGUAGCGUGAAGGAUGACUGCCCUAUGGGUUGUAAACUUCUUUUAUAAAGGAAUAAAGUCGGGUAUGCAUACCCGUUUGCAUGUACUUUAUGAAUAAGGAUCGGCUAACUCCGUGCCAGCAGCCGCGGUAAUACGGAGGAUCCGAGCGUUAUCCGGAUUUAUUGGGUUUAAAGGGAGCGUAGAUGGAUGUUUAAGUCAGUUGUGAAAGUUUGCGGCUCAACCGUAAAAUUGCAGUUGAUACUGGAUAUCUUGAGUGCAGUUGAGGCAGGCGGAAUUCGUGGUGUAGCGGUGAAAUGCUUAGAUAUCACGAAGAACUCCGAUUGCGAAGGCAGCCUGCUAAGCUGCAACUGACAUUGAGGCUCGAAAGUGUGGGUAUCAAACAGGAUUAGAUACCCUGGUAGUCCACACGGUAAACGAUGAAUACUCGCUGUUUGCGAUAUACAGCAAGCGGCCAAGCGAAAGCGUUAAGUAUUCCACCUGGGGAGUACGCCGGCAACGGUGAAACUCAAAGGAAUUGACGGGGGCCCGCACAAGCGGAGGAACAUGUGGUUUAAUUCGAUGAUACGCGAGGAACCUUACCCGGGCUUAAAUUGCAGAUGAAUUACGGUGAAAGCCGUAAGCCGCAAGGCAUCUGUGAAGGUGCUGCAUGGUUGUCGUCAGCUCGUGCCGUGAGGUGUCGGCUUAAGUGCCAUAACGAGCGCAACCCUUGUUGUCAGUUACUAACAGGUUCUGCUGAGGACUCUGACAAGACUGCCAUCGUAAGAUGUGAGGAAGGUGGGGAUGACGUCAAAUCAGCACGGCCCUUACGUCCGGGGCUACACACGUGUUACAAUGGGGGGUACAGAGGGCCGCUACCACGCGAGUGGAUGCCAAUCCCAAAAACCUCUCUCAGUUCGGACUGGAGUCUGCAACCCGACUCCACGAAGCUGGAUUCGCUAGUAAUCGCGCAUCAGCCACGGCGCGGUGAAUACGUUCCCGGGCCUUGUACACACCGCCCGUCAAGCCAUGGGAGCCGGGGGUACCUGAAGUGCGUAACCGCGAGGAGCGCCCUAGGGUAAAACUGGUGACUGGGGCU